rnacentral:rRNA from 1 species
UACGGAGGGGGCCAGCGUUGUUCGGAAUUAUUGGGCGUAAAGGGCGCGUAGGCGGCCGGAUAAGUCUGAUGUGAAAGUCGGGGGCUCAACCCUCGAAUGCCGGUGGAUACUGUCGGGCUAGAGUGCGGAAGAGGCGAGUGGAAUUCCUGGUGUAGCGGUGAAAUGCGCAGAUAUCAGGAGGAACACCUAUUGCGAAGGCAGCUCGCUGGGACGUAACUGACGCUGAGACGCGAAAGCGUGGGGAGCAAACAGG